rnacentral:rRNA from 1 species
UACAGAGGGUGCGAGCGUUAAUCGGAAUUACUGGGCGUAAAGGGUGCGUAGGUGGUUAUUUAAGUUGACUGUGAAAUACUCGGGCUUAACCUGAGAGCGUCAGUCAAAACUGAAUAACUGGAGUAGGAUAGAGGGAAGUGGAAUUUCCGGUGUAGCGGUGAAAUGCGUAGAUAUCGGAAAGAACACCAGUGGCGAAGGCGGCUUCCUGGAUCCAUACUGACACUGAGGCACGAAAGCGUGGGGAGCAAAC